rnacentral:lncRNA from 1 species
CCGAUCUUGAGAAAGCGUGCUUACUAAAGUCAAUACUUUGCAGAAUUAACUAAAAUUGCCGUACCAUAGCAAUGUUGUUGAUAGUUACGGUUCAUGCCGAUCUUCCAUUUAUGUCUUUAGCCUCCGAAGUAUUUGAGAUAAGGUUAGCUAAUUGGAAUGCUGAAGGACGAACAGCCCCCUCCGCUAUUACCACAACUUUUCGAGAUAAGUACUACAUGACACGAUGGGAGAGAGAGAGAGAGAGAUGGCUGUUGCGAUGUGUAUGUCACGCGUCACACUUUAGAUCUGGAUCGUGACAAAAUCGUGAGUCUUCGCACCAUUAGUUCCGUCGUGUCGAACCACUGGUCCAAUUAGUCUUCUAAGAUGCGUCUCAAAUGGUGUAAUUUUUAAUCGAAAAUUCGAUCUAAUCUUGUUAUAUUGUUCAUACAGUGUUCGUUCGGUUAAAAUUGAUGCUAGCAAUUCAGAAAACCGAAAGGAAUUUUCGCCGUUGUUCCUUCGAUAGCUUCAUUAACGUGCAGACAUUUAUACAAAUAUGCUAUCUGGGACUUUAAUGUUUCCACCAACAACGAUGGGAACUAUCACUGGGUAGGAAACACCUCAAAAUAUUUAUGCAAAAAAAUAAAAAUUUAUAUUUAUAAAGCAUACUCCAAACAGGCUCGGCGAAACAAAAUUUCUUAGCCUGAGGGUCUAGUCCUGCCUAAAUGAGUAUUUAUCACGAUCAUUGGAGUAGUUUCUAGUUUCCUCCACCCCUAAUAAAGAGGUGUAUAAAAGUCGAAUAGUAGAAAAUAAAGUAAGUCUAAAGCAUUUUUAUAACACGGGUUUACUCAUAGAAUUAUA